UUUAGGUUUGGUUCUAUUUAUUUAUUUGGUAAAGUUUUAUUUUAGCUUAGGAUUUUAGUUUGUUAAGGUUUUACAUGUUAGGUUUAAAAUUCUUAUAUAGAUCGAACGCAGUAUUUAAUAUUGAAUAUUUAGUUAUUUAAGAUUCAGCUUUUAGCAAGAGUUUUGAUGAAACUUGUGCCAGCAAUUGCGGUUAUACAAGUAAUGCGAUUGAAAUUUUUUGGUUAGUAAUUAGUUAUUAAAUUAUUAAUUUUGAGUUUAAAUUUUUUAGGUGAAAUUUUAAAUUUAAUUUAAGUUAAAUUAUUGUUUAUGAAGUUGUUAAAGUUUAAUAUUAAACUAGGAUUAGAUACCCUAUUAUUUAAAUUGUAAAUUCUUAUACCUGAUUAUUAGUAGAUUAUAUUCUUGAAAAUUAAAGAAUUUGGCGGUAUUUUAGUCUAUUCAGAGGAACCUGUCCUGUAAUUGAUAAUCCACGAUUUGUUCUACUCUUUUUUUUAGUUUGUAUACCGUCGUGUUUGAAUAUUUUAUAAGAAUUAUAAUAUUCAAUUAGUUAAAUAAAAGUGUAUGUCAGAUCAAGGUGCAGCUUAUGGAAGAGGAUAAGAUGGGUUACGAUAAAUUGAUUUUUGGUUUAUUUAUUUAAGUUUAAAUAAUAAAUUGGAUUUGAUAGUAAUGUUGUUUGAAUAUUCAAUGUGAUUUUAGCUCUAAAAUAUGCACAUAUUGCCCGUCGCUCUCAUUAAGGUGAGAUAAGUCGUAACAUAGUAGAUGUACUGGAAAGUGUAUCUAGAAUUAA
rnacentral:ncRNA from 1 species